rnacentral:rRNA from 1 species
GUUAGUCGGGUCCUAAGCUGAGGCCGACAGGCGUAGGCGAUGGAUAACAGGUUGAUAUUCCUGUACCACCUAUAAUCGUUUUAAUCGAUGGGGGGACGCAGUAGGAUAGGCGAAGCGUGCGAUUGGAUUGCACGUCUAAGCAGUAAGGCUGAGUAUUAGGCAAAUCCGGUACUCAUUAAGGCUGAGCUGUGAUGGGGAGAAGACAUUGUGUCUUCGAGUCGUUGAUUUCACACUGCCGAGAAAAGCCUCUAGAUAGAAAAUAGGUGCCCGUACCGCAAACCGACACAGGUAGUCAAGAUGAGAAUUCUAAGGUGAGCGAGCGAACUCUCGUUAAGGAACUCGGCAAAAUGACCCCGUAACUUCGGGAGAAGGGGUGCUCUUUAGGGUUAACGCCCAGAAGAGCCGCAGUGAAUAGGCCCAAGCGACUGUUUAUCAAAAACACAGGUCUCUGCUAAACCGUAAGGUGAUGUAUAGGGGCUGACGCCUGCCCGGUGCUGGAAGGUUAAGAGGAGUGGUUAGCUUCUGCGAAGCUACGAAUCGAAGCCCCAGUAAACGGCGGCCGUAACUAUAACGGUCCUAAGGUAGCGAAAUUCCUUGUCGGGUAAGUUCCGACCCGCACGAAAGGCGUAACGAUUUGGGCACUGUCUCAACGAGAGACUCGGUGAAAUCAUAGUACCUGUGAAGAUGCAGGUUACCCGCGACAGGACGGAAAGACCCCGUGGAGCUUUACUGUAGCCUGAUAUUGAAAUUCGGCACAGCUUGUACAGGAUAGGUAGGAGCCUUUGAAACGUGAGCGCUAGCUUACGUGGAGGCGCUGGUGGGAUACUACCCUAGCUGUGUUGGCUUUCUAACCCGCACCACUUAUCGUGGUGGGAGACAGUGUCAGGCGGGCAGUUUGACUGGGGCGGUCGCCUCCUAAAAGGUAACGGAGGCGCUCAAAGGUUCCCUCAGAAUGGUUGGAAAUCAUUCAUAGAGUGUAAAGGCAUAAGGGAGCUUGACUGCGAGACCUACAAGUCGAGCAGGGUCGAAAGACGGACUUAGUGAUCCGGUGGUUCCGCAUGGAAGGGCCAUCGCUCAACGGAUAAAAGCUACCCCGGGGAUAACAGGCUUAUCUCCCCCAAGAGUUCACAUCGACGGGGAGGUUUGGCACCUCGAUGUCGGCUCAUCGCAUCCUGGGGCUGUAGUCGGUCCCAAGGGUUGGGCUGUUCGCCCAUUAAAGCGGUACGCGAGCUGGGUUCAGAACGUCGUGAGACAGUUCGGUCCCUAUCCGUCGUGGGCGUAGGAAAUUUGAGAGGAGCUGUCCUUAGUACGAGAGGACCGGGAUGGACAUACCUCUGGUGUACCAGUUGUCGUGCCAACGGCAUAGCUGGGUAGCUAUGUGUGGACGGGAUAAGUGCUGAAAGCAUCUAAGCAUGAAGCCCCCCUCAAGAUGAGAUUUCCCAACUUCGGUUAUAAGAUCCCUCAAAGAUGAUGAGGUUAAUAGGUUCGAGGUGGAAGCAUGGUGACAUGUGGAGCUGACGAAUACUAA